AGAGACUUAGGUUAACAUCUUAGACCAAGAGCCUUCAAAGCUCUAUGCGGGAGUGAGAAUCCCCCAGCCUCUG
rnacentral:tRNA from 1 species